rnacentral:lncRNA from 1 species
UUUUAUCACGGGCAGCCUUUCCAUGAAUAAUACUUUCUUUAGCAAGCACUUUCCUACAAAGUCUGAUGGGAGUAAGCCUUCAUUUCUUGUUCCUGGCUUUAAUGGAGAAAAUGAUUGCAAAUAUUCUCUUCAUCCCAGACUACAAAGGAGAUACUACCACCUUGCUUGGCCCAGGAAACUCUGUCAUGCUGUGAAAAAGUGGCCAAAGGGAGUCUCAGCUGCAGUGAGUGGGUCAACGUUCUUGGACAGAGAUUGUUGCAAGGAAGGAAGGAAGAAAAGGAGGAAAGAAAUGGGCAGUUAACAUUUGUUGAAUAAUUCUCUGCAAUCAGGUGCAUUCUGAAUCACUUCAUGUACUGAGAAGAACAUCUGAAGUAAAUCUGAAGUCAGAGAACCUUAAGGAAUGUAGGACAGUUGGAAACAGUUUGGCACUUAAUGAAAAGUCAAUUAUGAGUUAUAAGAGAAUCCAAAUACAACUAAUAAUAGUAAUUACAAUCUGAAGUGUAUGAGAAAGGCAUCAUAAGCAUUUCAGUUGAUUUUAAUUAUUUGGGUUACUUGUAAUUUUUAAGAUAGAAAUUUUAAAUCAAUUUUUAAAACAUACCUAGCUGUAUAGGGUCAGCCCAGCAUAUCUCUCAUUGUUUUGGAAAAUAAAGACAUCCUUAUAAAUUUCUAAUUGCAUGAGGUAAAUUCUUGACCUUGGACAAAUCUGGGUGAAUUCCAAGGAU